rnacentral:rRNA from 1 species
GACGAACGCUGGCGGCGUGCUUAACACAUGCAAGUCGAGCGGUAAGGCCUUUCGGGGUACACGAGCGGCGAACGGGUGAGUAACACGCGGGUGAUCUGCCCUGCACUUCGGGAUAAGCCUGGGAAACUGGGUCUAAUACCGGAUAUGACCUCCUAUCGCAUGGUGGGUGGUGGAAAGAUUUAUCGGUGCAGGAUGGGCCCGCGGCCUAUCAGCUUGUUGGUGGGGUAAUGGCCUACCAAGGCGACGACGGGUAGCCGACCUGAGAGGGUGACCGGCCACACUGGGACUGAGACACGGCCCAGACUCCUACGGGAGGCAGCAGUGGGGAAUAUUGCACAAUGGGCGAAAGCCUGAUGCAGCGACGCCGCGUGAGGGAUGACGGCCUUCGGGUUGUAAACCUCUUUCAGCAGGGACGAAGCGCAAGUGACGGUACCUGCAGAAGAAGCACCGGCUAACUACGUG